CACGGGGCCAGCCCCUUGUGGAGCAUUUUUUUAGCAGAGCCAAAGAAGGAAGAUCUUCAUGGCCAGAGAGUGCUUAAGAGUACACCUAGUUGAUUUUGUAAGAUGGUGUACAAAAAGGAAAACCAGACUUCUAGUUUGCUCUCUGGACUCAUUAAUUUCCACCCUGGAAUAAAUAUCCAGGAAGUAUUAUGGUUUUUCUUUUCCCUUUUUUUUUUUCCUUUUGGUCUUGCUCACCUAAAAAGUCCUCCAGCCUAGCUCCAUUUCAAGUUACAACUUCUUCCCUCUCCCAGCUCCAACAUGCUUCAGGCGUGGAUGCCUGCAGUAGGAAGAAGCUCUCCUCCCCAUCUAUGUUCUUCACCACAAAGUGCCACCACAAGAUCUUCGUUCAGUCAAUGACCCUCCCAGGAUCCCUCCUGGUUCCUUUCUUUCCUCAUGCCAACAUGAGGGGCCUCUUGUCCUUUACUUACCUUCAACCCAUUCCACAGGUGUAAGAAAGAGGAAAAACGCAUUUGCAAGUAGGGGAAGGGAACACCAGCGGACCUCACUGUGAGCCAUCAGGACACUACAUUAGGCAGUUUGGCACAGCAAACAUUUUAUGGACUGGUGAAGCAAUCAUUUAGAAAAAUACAUCUCUGAAGCCAU
rnacentral:lncRNA from 1 species